GUCUCCAGAGUGACCGAGGCCCAGUUGGCAUCCAGUUUAAGGCCAUUCCUGAAUGCUCUGCACACUAUAGUGGUCAACACGUGUCACCUCCUCAUUGUAUUUGUGGCUGCACUGGUGCUGAUAGAUCUCAUCUCUUCUGUUGUGUGGCUGUAUUUACAAAAGUUUCAUCUCAUCCAGGAACACCUGGUGUUUCAAACUGUCCCCAAACGACAGGUGUCAGAGGUAACUGAGGAGGAUUAGAAGAAGGGCACCACUUUUUGUUUCUCCCUAUGCUUGACCUAUUGUCAAAUUAAAGAUGUCAGAGAGCUCAAAAUACAACCAAGUUGAGGAACGUCAACGCCCUCAGUCCAGGAUAUUGGGUUUUACCGAGGAAUAUCUUAAAUUAUUGAUGUGGAAUCUCUUUGGACCUAAAAUUGGAUGGACUGUCAGACUAUAUUGACAGUGGUACCUCUUGUGUCCGAAGUGAUAGAUUGGAUCUGAGAUAAAAGUGAAACCUGCAUGAGUCUACAAUGACAUGAUACUUGUACUAAAAUAAAGGUGACAGAGGGGUCUGAGAUGAAUGCAAAUCAGACGAGCAGUAACCUACAUAGUGAAAAAAUUGUUUGUUGUGCUAUGAAAACACAUUGUUUUACUCACCCAAAAAAUGUAGACAUCGGAUUUAGGUCAUGGCUUCAAAAGUGUUUCUCGUGAUAUAAAAUCUGAGGCGGGUGUUAUGAGUUUGCUCACUGUAAAACAGUUCACUCUGAAAGCAUUGCAGCUGGGUGUUUGCUGAAGUUGUGUUGCUCGUGUAAUGGGAGCUAAUGUACAGUGCUCAUCAGUACAUAUAAGUUUUAACAUGUUCUAUAGAAUCUCUUGAUGUUAACAAAUUUGUGUUUAAUGCUGUAAGUAUUUCUUAUAAUUAUAUAUCUCUAUUCACUUUUUAAUGUGAUAUGUUGAGUUUAUGUAUUGUAAAGCAGGGGUCAUGGUCUGGCCUGCUCAGUCAUGCAAGUGAGAAUUAUAGGCCUGUAGUCAAAAUUUCUGGACAUUUGGACCUUAAUUAAUCCAACUUGAGAAAGGGCAUAGAUUGAUAGAGAAAAGGCCUUGAUCAGAUUUUAAUUCAAGAAGGACCUUUUUCCACCUUUUUUUACAGUAUGGAAAGUUGUUCUAAUUAGUUUCAUCUUUUUAUUGUUAUAAUAUGAAGUUGUGAUGAAUUUCCCAUCAUAAAAGGCACACAUGCAUGUGAAGUUUACAUAUGGGGAUAAAUUGCAGUACAAAAUUAUGAAGGCCAAUUAUGGAAAAAGUGUGGAUGAAUUUUUUCUUACUUACAGCUCAAACAGCUGUGUAUUAUAUGUCUGCCAUGUUUCAGGUUUUUAAGAAUUUUUAAAUUAUUCACCAUGAGAAAGUUUUAGUUAUGUUUUAGUUGUCACUGUUUUGUGAUUUAGCUACUUGGAUUUAUACACAGUAUAUGUGUAACUUUUACAUUGUAAAUAUUUGUAUUUGAUAUGCACUGUAUGUAUUGUAAUUA